rnacentral:lncRNA from 1 species
UGUGAACUCGGAUUUGAAGUCAGUAAGACAUGGGUGGGAAUACAACAGAAGGGACACUGCACGUUUGUGGAGUGAAUUGGGAGCUAGAGUGUACCAGCAGGUGUUUGUGGAUACAGAGGGAGGGAAGGGAAGGACCGAGGGGAUCACGAGAAUAUCAUCUGUCCUCCCCGCCCCCAUAUUUCUGUAUGGUUGGAAAUUCCCACAGAUAAGGUCUGGAGUCCCGUGAUGAGCUCCGUUGGCCCAUGCUCACGGAAGGGACAAGGGUAACAGGAGUUCACAAGAAGAGCAGCGUCCUUAGGAAGCUGUUUCAGGAGGCCAGAGUCCACCAGUGCUCUGCCUCACUGUGCUUGCUGGGGCCCAGGUCAUGACCUGGAUCGCUUGCUUCCUGGCAUAAACAGUGAGCAGCGGUGGCAUGUGAGCCCACCCUGAUCCUUCCUCUGUGUUGUAGUCCAUACUUAUCAGCAAGCACAGUGGGCCUCUUUUGAGGAUCAGACAGGUGAGGAAAUUGUUUCACACAGGCAUGCAUGACAUACACACUGCUGAUAGGAACCAGACUGGUUCAAGGCAGAGGCAGUCAGUAACACAGUAGCCAACCUGCCCUUCACACCCCCAUACAAACCAGACACAACACACACACACACACACACACACACACACACACACA